UGGGGAAUAUUGCGCAAUGGGGGCAACCCUGACGCAGCCAUGCCGCGUGAAUGAAGAAGGCCUUCGGGUUGUAAAGUUCUUUCGGUAGCGAGGAAGGCAUUUAGUUUAAUAGACUAGGUGAUUGACGUUAACUACAGAAGAAGCACCGGCUAACUCCGUGCCUGCAGCCGCGGUAAUACGGAGGGUGCGAGCGUUAAUCGGAAUAACUGGGUGUAAAGGGCACGCAGGCGGUGACUUAAGUGAGGUGUGAAAGCCCCGGGCUUAACCUGGGAAUUGCAUUUCAUACUGGGUCGCUAGAGUACUUUAGGGAGGGGUAGAAUUCCACGUGUAGCGGUGAAAUGCGUAGAGAUGUGGAGGAAUACCGAAGGCGAAGGCAGCCCCUUGGGAAUGUACUGACGCUCAUGUGCGAAAGCGUGGGGAGCAAACAGGAUUAGAUACCCUGGUAGUCCACGCUGUAAACGAUGUCGAUUUGGGGGUUGAGCUUUAAGUUUGGCGCCCGUAGCUAACGUGAUAAAUCGACCGCCUGGGGAGUACGGCCGCAAGGUUA
rnacentral:rRNA from 1 species